rnacentral:rRNA from 1 species
CUAGUGUAGAGGUGAAUUCGUAGAUAUUAGAAAGAAUACCAAUUGCGAAGGCAGCUUUCUGGAUCAUUACUGACACUGAGGAACGAAAGCAUGGGUAGCGAAGAGGAUUAGAUACCCUCGUAGUCCAUGCCGUAAACGAUGUGUGUUAGACGUUGGAAAUUUAUUUUCAGUGUCGCAGCGAAAGCGAUAAACACACCGCCUGGGGAGUACGACCGCAAGGUUAAAACUCAAAUGAAUUGACGGGGACCCGCACAAGUAGUGGAGCAUGUGGUUUAAUUCGAAGAUACGCGCAGAACCUUACCAACACUUGACAUGUUCGUCGCGACUCUAAGAGAUUAGAGUUUUCGGUUCGGCCGGACGAAACACAGGUGCUGCAUGGCUGUCGUCAGCUCGUGUCGUGAGAUGUUGGGUUAAGUCCCGCAACGAGCGCAACCCUCACUUUUAGUUGCCAUCAUUUAGUUGGGCACUCUGAAAGAACUGCCAGUGAUAAGCUGGAGGAAGGUGGGGAUGACGUCAAGUCCUCAUGGCCCUUACGUGUUGGGCUACACACGUGCUACAAUGGUAUCUACAACAGGAAGCAAAACUGCGAAGUUAAGCAAAUCCUUAAAAGAUACCUCAGUUCGGAUUGCACUCUGCAACUCGAGUGCAUGAAGCUGGAAUUACUAGUAAUCGUGGAUCAGCGUGCCACGGUGAAUGCGUUCCCGGGUCUUGUACACACCGCCCGUCACACCAUGGGAGUUGGUUCUACCUUAAGGCAAGGUUUAAAACCCUUGACCACGGUAUAGUCAGCGACUGGGGUGAAGUCGUAACAAGGUAGCCGUAGGGGAACCUGCGGCUG